GCAAGCUAACCAAAGUUUUGCUCUACAUGCAUUAGGAAAUAAGCUGUAAUGAUGUUAUCCAUAUGUAUGUGCGACAAGGUGGAAAAUUUGAUAUGUUUUGUGAAAAUUGCAGCGUUGGAUCUAUAAUAAAAAAGAAGAUGUGGUAUGAUUGCCAAUGAGACAGCUGUCCACAAGAGACCAAAAUGACACAGAAAUUAACAUUUAUAGAUCACUGUGCGGUCUUCAAUAAUGAGAAAAGCCCAUACCUCAUAGUCAGCUAUACAAAACCCCGAUAUGACAAUGUAAAACAAUAAAUUAUAUAAAAAAAAAAUUAACGAAAAACAAAUAUGUAACAAAUAAACAAACGACAACCACUGAAAUACAGGCUCCUAUACAAUAUAUUUUUUGUUAUGGAAUAGAUUUCUUCUCCUUUUAUAUAUUUAAUUGGGCGUUUUCUUUUCUUUUUUUUUUUGAUUUUUUUUGAUUUUUUUACACAAGUAAUGUUUGGGUCAUUUAUAGCUUACUUUUCAGCAUUGAACCUUUGACUGCUUACUUUUAGUUCAGGUCCUGAUAAAAAAAUUUACACAUUCAGUACAGAAAGAAGAGUUUCAAUGAUAGUAUUCGUGUUUUUCUAGGCAGAAAUGAUCUUGGAAUGACAUUAUACCGGUUUAAAAGAGCUCAAAUGAUUUUCUUAUUGGACAGUGGUCACUUCAUUGGAUAUUUCACUGUUUCAUGUCGUGAAUUUAAUGCAGGUUCAAUUCAUAACAAUGCAC
rnacentral:lncRNA from 1 species